UGCUAAAGUUACAGUCAUACGACAACGCAGUAUUGCCGUCAACUUUGGCCAAGAAUACAUCCUCAAUCCCCUUCAGCUGCAGCUGAACAGAGGUAGUUGGACAGGCUAAGCACAUCGGUUGACUUAAGGCUCCACCAAUAGACUAAUGCCAACUUGAAGAGCUACAAAACUGCACCAAGAACAUUUGAAGGUUGCAGGUGCAGCCUAUGCUAUGAGUGGGAGG